rnacentral:rRNA from 1 species
CCAAUAGCGUAUAUUAAAGUUGUUGUGGUUAAAAAGCUCGUAGUUGAACCUUGGGCCUGGCUGGCCGGUCCGCCUCACCGCGUGUACUGGUCCGGCCGGGCCUUUCCCUCUGCGGAACCCCAUGCCCUUCACUGGGUGUGGCGGGGAAGCAGGACUUUUACUUUGAAAAAAUUAGAGUGCUCCAGGCAGGCCUAUGCUCGAAUACAUUAGCAUGGAAUAAUAGAAUAGGACGCGCGGUUCUAUUUUGUUGGUUUCUAGGACCGCCGUAAUGAUGAAUAGGGACAGUCGGGGGCAUCAGUAUUCAAUCGUCAGAGGUGAAAUUCUUGGAUUGAUUGAAGACUAACUACUGCGAAAGCAUUUGCCAAGGAUGUUUUCAUUAAUCAGGAACGAAAGUUAGGGGAUCGAAGACGAUCAGAUACCGUCGUAGUCUUAACCAUAAACUAUGCCGACUAGGGAUCGGACGGUGUUAUUUUUUGACCCGUCCGGCACCUUACG